AGCACCCCAUGAUGAAAUAUUAAGCCAAAUAAAAUCCUUAUUUAAUAGUCCUUGUAGUUGCUUUUCUAAUUCCACUUACUCAAAUGAUGUCAUUCUAUAGAGAGGCUUAGAUAUUGGGAUUGUCCCAAGGACCAAAUCAAAAGCAAAGUCACGUUUUGAAGGUAAUUCAGGCAAAUCAUCUUGGGAUACAUUAGGCAACGAGAUAAAUCAUGUCCAAUACUUUCAAAAUAAAAGAUGGGCUGAUCUAAUAUGCAAAAAGUGAUCAUUAGUUAUAUAACAAUUCAUAUUGGUAUGAUAUGAAGAUAGCAAAUUCAUACCAAGUAUAAUAUCAAAAUUCCAAAUCUCUAGGAGAACUAAAUCAGCAAAAAGUUCAAGUUCUCCAAUAAAAAUCAGACAAGAGGACCAGAUUCAAGU
rnacentral:lncRNA from 1 species